AUGUGUGCGUCGGUUACCGGGUUCGGACGGCUGCGCCGCCUCCCUCCCCCUGUCGGCCCCACUCCGGGGCGGCGGAGGGGCGGCGGGGGCCGAGGUCCCGCUCUCCGGCGCCGAGCGCAGCUGGAGCGCACAGGGCCGCGCUACCGCCCGGGGCCCUCCCCGCGCCGCGCCCUCUGCGCUCCCCGCCCCAGUCCCCAACCCACGCGCACGCGGCCCCGCGCCCUCGCACAGCCUCCAGCCGUCGGCGGCACGCGGCGGGCCUCCUCUGGGCGGAGCGGCGGGUCCGGAUGGCGAGGCGUCCAGGGCGGUCCCCGCACUCGGGACCGGCGCGGGUCGGACACACGGCGCCACCGCCUCCGCCUCCGCCUCCGCAGGGACCGACCCUCGGACGAAAAGCCCAGGACGCACUUCGACUCUGGGAGGGCUCGCAGCCCCGAGGCUGGCGGCACACUCGGGGGAGGGGGGGGAGGGGGGAGGGCCACUCCAAUGUUGGUGAACCUCGGAGGGGGGUGGGGAGGGCUGCCUCCUGCUUUGGAAACAUUCUUCUGA
rnacentral:lncRNA from 12 species